rnacentral:lncRNA from 1 species
CCCAAAAUCAGUCUAACUCCACCCUGCUCCCAAGAUUUCUGCUCACUGACACCAGCGCCUGACUACCCUUAAGAGCUGAAGACCUCCUUUGGAAGAGCACAGAUGGCCUCUCUGGCUCCUCUCCGACCAGGCUCUUGGUAGGAGGAUGGUCUGGCCCCAGUCUUGGCGGAGAUGGACAAGCGGCCCUUGCUCAGCCAGUGAAAUGAUCUCACCUGUGGACCCCAUUCCUUCCUUACAAGAGAUUCACCUGGGUAGGAACCAGAGGCCUGUGACACACAGUGCACAUAAGGUGUACAGACGCCAGACUAAAUGGUGCCUGGCAAUGACCUUUUCCAGGCCGUGGAGGCUGCUCCAGAAUCUGGUGCCUGCUCAGGAUGACAACCCUGUGUCCUCGGCUCAACCUGUUCCCUCAAGUGGGCUGAAUCUGACCAGAUGGAACUCUGACGCAGGAAAAGAAAAUAGAAGAAAGCCCUCUCUUGCCCACUUGUCAGCAUUCAAGACCAGCCUAUUCUAUAAGUGGUGUAAAGAAGGAGCCAAAAUAACUCACUUUACAGUUACAUCCGAAGACAAAGAUUACAGACAUUACUACUUGAUCAGAUUUGCAGUUUUGCAUGGAUUUCCAUCUUGUCAAAAAUCUGAAAUCCCUGCACCCUAA